CCUACGGGGGGCUGCAGUGGGGAAUAUUGGACAAUGGGGGCAACCCUGAUCCAGCCAUGCCGCGUGUGUGAAGAAGGCCCUCGGGUUGUAAAGCACUUUCAGUGAGGAAGAACGCCUGGUGGUUAAUACCCAUCAGGAAAGACAUCACUCACAGAAGAAGCACCGGCUAACUCCGUGCCAGCAGCCGCGGUAAUACGGAGGGUGCGAGCGUUAAUCGGAAUUACUGGGCGUAAAGCGCGCGUAGGUGGCUUGAUAAGCCGGUUGUGAAAGCCCCGGGCUCAACCUGGGAACGGCAUCCGGAACUGUCAAGCUAGAGUUCAGGAGAGGAAGGUAGAAUUCCCGGUGUAGCGGUGAAAUGCGUAGAGAUCGGGAGGAAUACCAGUGGCGAAGGCGGCCUUCUGGACUGACACUGACACUGAGGUGCGAAAGCGUGGGUAGCAAACAGGAUUAGAUACCCUUGUAGUC
rnacentral:rRNA from 1 species